rnacentral:lncRNA from 1 species
CUCUGACAUUCUAUGGUGUGCAGGAGUAAUUCCUAGCGACACACCCAGGGGCAAGAACAGGGCUAGCACCCAGAACCUGGUUCUUUUAUGUCAUUCUUGCAAGUUUUAGAGCUCAGCAAGAAUAAUUAGCUCUAUUCCUUGACAACAUAUCUUUUCCUUCUAGUGUAUUCAGGCGAAGGAAGAAAAUCCGUCGCUCUCUUGACAGCUUGUUCAACCUCAGUGCCUCCAGCUCAUGGCUCAGCUCCACCAUUCCCAGCAACAUGGAUUCCUCCCAUGUAGAUGAUCCUUGGCCUGAUGGAUGCAGUAAACCAGAAGCCAGUUACAGCAAUAUUGGUGAUUCAGACUUUUCUUAUGGAUAUAAUAAACAUGUGGCACAAAGGCAAAUUCCAGCAUAUAAUGGAGCAUCUCUCACCAAAGAUGAUGAGUUUCUUCAGUCUGAGAAACCAUUUAGUGCUUCAAAACCCUUCUCACCAUUUAUGAUAAAUGGAAAUGAAGAAACCUUGAGCAGUGGAGAAUCCAGGACAGUGCAAAAUGUCAUUUCUCAGAUGGUUGCACUGAUCAUGUGUUUAAUCAUUUCAACAUGUACAAGGUAAUUUUUAUUUCUUUUAUUUGCUGUUUCUGACAUUAGUAGUUAUUCCAUUUCAACUGGUGAAAAAAAUUUAAAUUAAGGGUCACAUUUUCAAAGUUCCCUAUAUCUUUCUGUGAAAAUCUAUUUUCACAUGAUAGUCGAUGCAGGCAAUUAUCUGAACUAUAGAGAUAUACACAAAAAUAAGAAAUAUAUGCAGAUAUGAAAACUACCUUUCCAAGUGUGCUUGGACAGGGGUUUUGGCAGGCUGAGAAGAAUCUGAAUGCAUCUAUGUCUUUUUAAGUGGAUGUUUCAGUCUGGGAAAGCUGAGGUCUUUUUUUCUUGGAGAUUAUCCUCAAUAGUUUACGCAAUUUAAAAAGUUUCAAAUUGCAGUUCACCUACCAGAGUUCAGAGGGUUCAUCUGCAAAAACCUUCUCUCCUCCUCCCAUCCAGGCUUCAACUCUUUUAACCAAAUAUGCAUCCUGUGGCUAUUUCUAAACUUUCUGGAUAAUUUUAUAUUUUCAGAUAUUUUCUAGGAGGAUUGCCUGCCACUUUGUUCCUGAUAAUUUUAGUUGGUAAGUACAGAAUUUCUUUAUAUACAGCACAGGGAUUUUUUUCUAAAAAAGAGGGGUUUUCUAAAAAAAAAAUCCAAGAACCAAAAUCCAUCCUUGGAUGUAUAUCCAUGGCUCUUACUGAUGCCAAUAAGAGCAGUAUGUGGGCACAUGGGCACAGAAUGUAACCUUUAAUCUAUUAGAGGAUUUUGCAUUUGAAUUUCACAGGUCUUUUGUCUCAAGAUGCUGCUGUGUCAUCUUUCUUCAGUCUUGACACAUCUUUCAAAACCACAAAGUUUUGGUAAGUGGCUCCAGUGUCAUGUGGUGAAUAGGGGAAUCUAGAAGUUUUAUAUUAAGAAGAGGAAGGAGAGAUUCCUGCUGUUGUUUUCAUGUCAGAAGAGA